rnacentral:rRNA from 1 species
GACGAACGCUGGCGGCGUGCUUAACACAUGCAAGUCGAACGGAAAGGCCCUGCUUUUGUGGGGUUCUCGAGUGGCGAACGGGUGCGUAACACGUGUGUAACCUGCCCUUGUCUUUGGGAUAACUUCAGGAAACUGGGGCUAAUACCGGAUAGGAGCUCCUGCUGCAUGGUGGGGGUUGGAAAGUUUCGGCGGUUGGGGAUGGACUCGCGGCUUAUCAGCUUGUUGGUGGGGUAGUGGCUUACCAAGGCUUUGACGGGUAGCCGGCCUGAGAGGGUGACCGGGCACAUUGGGACUGAGAUACGGCCCAGACUCCUACGUGAGGCAGCAGUGGGGAAUAUUGCACAAUGGGCGGAAGCCGGAUGCAGAAACGCCGCGUGCGGGAUGACGGCCUUCGGGUUGUAAACCGCUUUCGCCUGUGACGAAGCGUGAGUGACGGUAAUGGGUAAAGAAGCACCGGCUAACUACGUG